UUAAAUCGGCCUAUUUUAACUUCAGGAACCUGAGGUUAAGCUAUGGUCCAUUCUUUACCAAACACCCUGUAUAUAAAAGUGGGUACCAAGUAUUACAGUAAAAAAAGCUGGGAUUGGGACCCGAGUCCUUGAUAUAGAUCAGUAUACACAUAUUUGUCCACUCGUUCGACAUGGGUUCCAUUUAUUAGAAGAUUCGCAUUAUUUCUUUGAUUUUUCGAUAUACUUAUAAAUUUUAUCUUCUUGAUGUUCAUUAUUAUGCCGUAUUGUUUUGCAUACUCCGCUAUUCUGGUCACCAGUCUCUGAAGAUCUUCAAUAUUUUUGACUAAAAUGACAGUGUCAUGACGCUUCAAUUACUAUUUUACUACUUUUUUAAUUGCUAAUUUUAAAUAUUAACUUUCUUUUCUAAACGAAAUAAUAUAGGUCAUUUAAAAUUCACAUGUGUUUCGUUCCUAAUAUACAAACCAUAUGCAUAGAAGGGCCUGUUAAGUUUUAAGAAACGAAAUAUAUCCCUAUUUCAGGUAAAAUGCCUUUGCAGUUUUAAAUACACCAGAUCUAAUAAAUUGUCGCCGGUAUGGCCAUAUGGUAGAACCACAUAAUGACAGAGGUUUGUGGUCUAGUUCAGUAUAAUCACAGCGGGCACCCUGUGCGAUCACACCCUCGAUAGAAUAACAAACUCUUACGAGAUAUAAACAAAGCACGCAUUUUUUUACCAAAAAUAAAUAAAUAUAUUAUUGUCCGUCGUUUUACUUAAUAUUAUUUUAAUUGUUUCCGUGGACAAUAAGGUUAUCACACAAGCAACUCAACCACACCACGGAACACGCAUAUCUAAUUUUGUUAAUAGGAACUCCAUUUACGUUUAUUCCAGCUGUUUCACCCUCAAGAGCUUUUUUCAGGAUCUCUUGCGAGUAGGCAUUAAAAAGAAUUGGAGACAGUACGCAUCCAUAUCUUACCCCAGGUCUAUUUAUUUCAAUUUCCCCUGAGGUUAUUGUUGUCUAUCUUCUUAGAUUUCAGGACAUUAAUUUAUUGUUCAUGUCGUACUAGUCUGUCAUAUGUGUAGUUAUAUUCACAAAAAACUUUGAACUAUAUAAGAAAUUAAGAACUCACUCACAGAACAAUAUGACAUACUGAUAUGUAUCAAAUUUAUGUAUCUACAGAAAGACGUGUUUCUUUAAAUGAAAUAUUAAUUUAAUAAUUGUAGAAAGUAGAAACCUAGAGUUUAAGGAAUCCAGUCUAUACGAAAAAGGUUGUUCCGAUACAAAUAAAAAACAGUAGUUGAUAAUAGAUAAUACGGUAUGCGGCAAAAUAAACAGUACUAAAAUUCGUUUGCCCCUUUGUAUGUGAGAGGCGUCGAAACGUAUUGAAUGGUGUCCGAACGUCUUUAUAACGUAUGUAAAUGUCGUGAUAAUGUUAGGUGCUUCAGAAUGGUUCUCAGUUUUGCAGAAAAAUUUUUUAUGGUGAAGUACUAUUUUCGGUCACACGGAAAAGGUCAUGAAAAUGGUCCAAGCUUAAAAUCAACAAUGGUUUCAGCAGGACGGGACAACCUGUCACACUGCCAGGGAGUCUCUUCGAAUACUGCGCGAUCAUUUUGGAAGUUAUCACUCACCAGAACUGACGACACUAGAUGCGUACAUGUGAAGAAUGCUGAAAGAGUCAGACAGAUCUACCAUCUGCCAUUUCAGAGUUGCGGACUAAAAUUAAAGAUUUUUUCGUACCAGAGGCAGUGGCGAAUCCUCAGGGGGCAACUUCCAAUGAAAAACCAACCAAAAUGCAUAAAAAAGAUAAACUCAGAUUACAUAAAAGACAUAAAUAAUAAGUUAUAGGCAUUAAGUUCCCUUAAUUUUCCUAACUAGAGUGUUUAUUGGGUUCAAUUUGUAUUUUUAUGGUUCGGUUACAUGUCAGCUAAUGUAAUUUUAUAUUUGAACAAUUUUUUUUCUUUAAUUUUGGACUUUGUUAAGGGGGAAAUUUCCUCAUUUUGCCUCCUCGUAGACCCGCCACUGGCCAGAUGUCAUCUUUAACAUCUAUUUUGUCAGGAACGUGCGUCAUCAUGAAUAAUGUUUGCAAGGCUAUAUCGUGUAUACUAGAGAUAUCAAUAAUCAUAAACAUUUCAAUGUUCAUUUGUUCAUUUCAGUACUGUUUAUUUUGCCGCAUAAGUACUGUAGUAAUCAAAAAUAUGUGACGAAAGUACUACUGAUCGUGGAUUAGGUGCAGACUUCAUGGUACCUGCGGUGUACAUAUUUUAACAAAUUAAUAUUAUUAAAUAUAAAAGAAAAAUCCACAUUUAUCAAUCUGCCAAGGUAAACUAAAAAGUUGUAUUAGUAGAUAUAUAUUUGAUAAGUAAUUUUAGUUGAGGCAGUUUUUUGAUACUGAAGAUGUAUUACAGAGGUCGUAUGUAGUUGUAUGUCUUGCUCAAAAAUAUAUAAUGUAUGCGUAUUACUAAGUAUUUUUGUGACUGUUUUCUUAUUUUUAUAUGAACUUAUAUUAUUGUUAAAAACGAAUUUUAAUAUAUGCCUGUUUCUUA
rnacentral:lncRNA from 1 species